CCAUAACCCCAGUCUAAUCCAGAAAAGAACAUCAGACAAGCCCAGAGACGACUUCUACAAGAUAAGCGGCCAGUACUAUUGUUGACUGCUAAGGAAAACCAAGAAACUGUUCACAGAAGAGAUUAAGAAGACAUGACAACUAAUUGCAACGUGGUUGGAAGUCAGCAGUGGUUCUAACCAGAUCACCCUAAAUGACUGCAAGUCCGUGCUGUGGAACCCAUGUACACACUUGAUCCCUGUUGCCGUAACAAUUUUAUUCUUAAAAUUAUUGAGCAUAGACAUUUUGGCUGAGGAAAACACUUACUGAAACCUACAGAAUGGGUUAUCCUAUACACUUGAUUAUUGAGAUCCCAGUCUACUGAAAUUUGUCUUUGAUAAAUAUUCACAUAAGAUCCAA